GCGCAUGUAGCCCGGUGUCCUGAGAGGCUCCAGCUGGCACUGAGCUGAAAUGAUGGAGAGGGGCAGCAAUCGACAUAUUUUCAAGAGGAUCUGGAAUAAGCCCUCUUCCUUUCGCGGAAUUGUUGAAGGGACAGAGCUUGGUAACUACCCACCCACUGCCUUCCUUCUCCCUCGGUCACCCUAUGCAGACCACUUUGCCACCUGCUUCUUCUGUGAAUAGGAUGGCGAUAUUCUCUCGUCCCAUCGAGGACUUGUUGCAAGUAAAGGAAGGCACCGCUGAUAACCGUGAGCCGUGACGACAGAUGUCAACCUGGCCAACCAGGAGGUGGGGGUCACACUAGGACCCAAUUCAUGAGUCAUCCCCCGGCCCCUCCAGGGCGACCACUGGCAAGGAUUCAACACCUCCUGUCUCCUUAGAGCCACGACCAUGUACCAAGGCCUAAAGUGUUGGGACCAGGUGGACAUUGUGUAGAGCACAAAGAUACUGCCCCUGUUCUCACCUCCACUCACCUCUAGUGGGAGAUAAGAUCAGAACGGAAGUGACGUCCACAUCUGAAGGGCAGUGCCUGACCCACAAAGGUGUCGAUCCAGUCCUGACCCUCACUGAUAACUGAUAACUCCACGUUCUCCCCUUUUGGAUGCUUAUCGUAAGUAGGAACAGCGGCCUCUUUACCUGAGUGGGACGAGCACAUCCAACAUCCAGGGGCUGCAGACAGACAGCUUGAGUCCAUCCCGGACCCCUUGGGGGUCAAGGACCCAUGUGUAUAACUGAAUAUGGCAAAAGUCACAGCUAAUAGACCCAGAUGGUGAUCCACACAUGACACGGGGCUCAGUAAGUACUGCUGGGUUUUUACAGCCGGGUGAACCGGCCACCCAACCCCCCUGCCCUCCGCAUGGGGGCAUGGGAGAAAUAAAAAAGCAUCCCUAUAUGACGUGACACACAAAUGAAUGGGUUUGAGGACUUUCGAUGACUCACAGGAUCCUGGACAUUUGUAUACAGACAAAUGGUCUUCCGCACCUCCCAGCAAACCACUCUGAGCCAAUAACGGUGGAGGAAGACAGAUCCAUCACGGCCACCUUUUAAGAGAGGAACCUGCCAGUCCUGGGCUCUCUUCUCUGUAAGAAAUACAGUGACACUGCCCGCCAAGAGACACUUUUCUUGCACUCCGCUCAUUCCAAAGACCAAAUGUUUUAUUGCAAACGUCCGCCAAAAUAAACAGGCCUGCAAGUCCCACAGCCAGUGGGACAGCGCCCUGGCCCAGGGAGGGAGGUGCGCGUGCUGGCCCUGACUGCCACUUGCCUUCCGGGGCCACCAUGGGCAAGCCCGCCGCGCUCCGUUCCCUCAUCCCUGACCGGGGAUGGGCUCCGCCCGCCUCACCGGCAACGGAGGACCGUCCAGGGAAAGGACUCGGAACACAGAAAAGCGCUAUGUAAGGUUAGACAAUGCAGUGGUUCGUGUUCGCCGUCCAGGAAAAAAAAAAAGAACAACAACAAAAAAAAAAAACCUUGCUUUUCAUUGUCAAACCUCAACUAACUGGAGUCGCUU